rnacentral:rRNA from 1 species
UUGACUUUACUAGAUCAAAUAAUCCUACAUGGAUAACUGUGGUAAUUCUAGAGCUAAUACAUGCAUUUAAGCCGAGACCUUUAUGGAAUCGGCGCAUUUAUUAGAUCAAAGCCAAUCGGACUUCGGUCCGCUCUUUGGUGAAUCUGAAUAACUCAGCAGAUCGUACGGUCGCGUACCGACGACGCUUCUUUCAACAAUCUGCCCUAUCAACUUUCGAUGGUAGUUUAUGCGCCUACCAUGGUUGUUACGGGUAACGGAGAAUCAGGGUUCGAUUCCGGAGAGGGAGCCUGAGAAACGGCUACCACAUCCAAGGAAGGCAGCAGGCACGCAAAUUACCCAUUCCCGGCAAGGUGAGGUAGUGACGAAAAAUAACGAGAUGAUUCUCUAAGAGGGUCAUCAUCGGAAUGAGCACAAUUUAAAUCCUUUAACGAGGAUCUAUUGGAGGGCAAGUCUGGUGCCAGCAGCCGCGGUAAUUCCAGCUCCAAUAGCGUAUAUUAAAAUUGUUGCGUUUAAAAAGCUCGUAGUUGGAUCUCGGUGCAGAAUUGCGGUCCCCCUAACGGGUGGUUACUGCUUUUUCUGACCGAAAAUAUCCGGUUCGUCCUUGGUGCUCUUUACUGAGUGUCUUGGAUGGCUGGAAAAUUUACUUUGAAAAAAUUAGAGUGCUUAAAGCAGGCGUAAGCCUGAAUAGUGGUGCAUGGAAUAAUGGAAUAGGACCUCGGUUCUAUUUGAUUGGUUUUAAGAACCAAGGUAAUGAUUAAGAGGGACAGACGGGGGCAUUAGUAUUGCGACGUUAGAGGUGAAAUUCUUGGAUCGUCGCAAGACUAACUACUGCGAAAGCAUUUGCCAAGAAUGUUU